AACUCCCCUCCUCCCCCAGCACAAGGCAAAGGGCACCCCUUGCUGUGAGUUUGGGGGCACCGGCUGUCGGGGGCCGACCCAGAACUUUGCGGGGUCCCCUGAGGGACCCGUGGCGGGACCGGCCCCGGGUUCGUCAAAUUCCGCCGAUGCUUUCAGGAGGCUGAUUAAACAAAGGACAAGAUUGGAGUGGGAAAUGAGAGGCUCUUAAAAGUGGAAGCUUUUUGUUUGUCCAUUUACAAGAAAUUGGACAAUGAAUCACUUCAGGAAGAUGGAGGUCAUCAACCUCACCACCCUACCUGUGAUACCAGUGGAUGAGCACCUGGCUGUCUCGCUUGUCGCACGGAAUACAAUGGUGAAGACUGUGAGGAAGGAGUUAGAGAACAGUCCACCCUCAUGCCUUAUUGGCUCCAUGCACCAGGUGAACCAAAAGAUUGCUGACAUAAAUCUGCGUACCGAGCCGUCGGCCAACAGCCUGUCAAGAGACAAAGGAAAUCUCAGUAUUCCUGCAAAGGCUCCGAACUCAGACAUGCCAGAUCUUCUGUUAUAAAAAGGAAAACAGCAGAUAAAAAUCUGCUGGCAGAGCUGUACCAGUA
rnacentral:sRNA from 1 species